CAAACUUUAAGGGGUUUAUUGGUUUCUCACCUCACCUCUGGCCCUUUUAAAUUGACCAGAUCUAUUAUCUUCAAAGGGAAAAGUCAGGGCAGGCAGUGACCUAGGCCAGGGGAGAUUCUGCCUCAUUUCUACAAAAUAAGUUUAAACAGAAAAACCUGAUUCCACUAUUCAUCUGCCCUGCAGUGGGUGUGGACUGUCCCAGGCUUUCCUUCAGUGAUGUUUUCCUCCUCCUGCGAGUCUGCAAGUUUUAGAGUCAGUGCACUAGGGCUCUCCCAGAACCAUGGUGUGCGGCUUUAUGAAAAGAAUACGAACAUACCUCAUCGCUUCUGCCUUUCCAUUAAAGGCAACAGAAGCUGUAUCCUGUAAGAACUGACCCAUAUGUGAUUAUUUGGGGGCAACUGGGCCUUGUGUCCAGUGGAAGAUAAAGAGCACUUUUAUGCUCUUGGAGAAAGAAGUGGCUGAAGUCAUUUGUCGUUAGAAGGAAGGAAGGAAGGAAGGAAGGAAGGAAGGAAGGAAGGAAAACAUUUAUUGGACAUCCAUAUGUCCCCAGAUACUUUGCCACGUAUAUAUAUUUUUAUUUUCUCAUUUGUCGCAUCAUAACUCUGCAAAGAUAGAAUUCUACCCAUAUUAAAGACAAAAAACUGA
rnacentral:lncRNA from 1 species